AUAAAUAGGAGAUGGUGUCUUCAUUAUCAUCACCAUAUACUCAAGCUCAAAGCCUCAAAUCCUCUCUAAAAAGCUCUUUUUGCAAAAUUCAAGCUUUCUCUCUUCUAUCAAUAUGUCGAGAAGAACCCGUUCAAAUAGGGAAGGUGCUUCCACCUCUGCUCUUCCUCCCUCCGGAUAUCAUCCAUAUCAAGAUGGUGAUGUUUUGGUCUUCAAAAGCGAAAAUAAAUUAAAUCGCUUUCUUACUA
rnacentral:lncRNA from 1 species